AUCAUUGCCUGAGGCAAAACACAAGCUUAGCCAUGAUUCCCACAAACACUCUUUCUUUUAAGCAUUUGAUUCACAGUUGUUGACAACAUCUUCUCCUUAGAUCCAUUCUUGUCCCCCACUAAUGGCUUCCGAACGAAUAGAAUGAUAUAUGAUCUAUAAAGGUGGAUGUGAUGAGAAGGUUGGGAGGAAGAAACAUCUUGUCUCCAUCUAAGAAAAAGGGAUGGAGUUGAAGUCUCAUUGUUGCAAGCUUCCUUCUACAAUUGGAGUGUAGGUGUUGUUGCCUCGCAUAGCUUUUGCUUGCUUUGAUCAUAUUAUGUUUUGAUGAUUCCAUAUUCUUAUAUUUUAUUUUGAU
rnacentral:lncRNA from 1 species